AUUGAACGCUGGCGGCAUGCUUUACACAUGCAAGUCGAACGGUAACAGGUCUUCGGAUGCUGACGAGUGGCGAACGGGUGAGUAAUGCAUCGGAACGUGCCCAGUCGUGGGGGAUAACGCAGCGAAAGCUGUGCUAAUACCGCAUACGAUCUAUGGAUGAAAGCGGGGGAUCGCAAGACCUCGCGCGAUUGGAGCGGCCGAUGUCAGAUUAGCUAGUUGGUGGGGUAAAGGCCCACCAAGGCGACGAUCUGUAGCUGGUCUGAGAGGACGAUCAGCCACACUGGGACUGAGACACGGCCCAGACUCCUACGGGAGGCAGCAGUGGGGAAUUUUGGACAAUGGACGCAAGUCUGAUCCAGCAAUUCCGCGUGGGUGAAGAAGGUCUUCGGAUUGUAAAGCCCUUUCGUUGGGGACGAUGAUGACGGUACCCAAAGAAGAAGCCCCGGCUAACUUCGUG
rnacentral:rRNA from 1 species